AGCGGCGGACGGGUGAGUAACACGUGGGCAACCUGCCCUGCAGAUCGGGAUAACUCCGGGAAACCGGUGCUAAUACCGAAUAGUUUUGGGUCCCUCCUGGGACCCAACGGAAAGACGGUUUCGGCUGUCACUGCAGGAUGGGCCCGCGGCGCAUUAGCUAGUUGGUGGGGUAACGGCCCACCAAGGCCACGAUGCGUAGCCGACCUGAGAGGGUGAUCGGCCACACUGGGACUGAGACACGGCCCAGACUCCUACGGGAGGCAGCAGUAGGGAAUCUUCCGCAAUGGACGCAAGUCUGACGGAGCAACGCCGCGUGAGUGAUGAAGGUUUUCGGAUCGUAAAACUCUGUUGCGAGGGAAGAAACCGUGCCAGCUAACUACUGGCACCUUGACGGUACCUCGCCAGAAAGCCACGGCUAACUACGUGCCGGCAGCCGCGGUAAUACGUAGGUGGCAAGCGUUGUCCGGAUUUACUGGGCGUAAAGGAUGCGUAGGCGGACAUUUAAGUCAGAUGUGAAGUACCCGAGCUUAACUUGGGUGCUGCAUUUGAAA
rnacentral:rRNA from 1 species